rnacentral:rRNA from 1 species
ACAGGCUUAUCACAUGCAAGUCGAGGGGCAGCACAGGUAGCAAUACCGGGUGGCGACCGGCGCACGGGUGAGUAACGCGUAUGCAACUUGCCUAUCAGAGGGGGAUAACCCGGCGAAAGUCGGACUAAUACCGCAUGAAGCAGGGAUCCCGCAUGGGAAUAUUUGCUAAAGAUUCAUCGCUGAUAGAUAGGCAUGCGUUCCAUUAGGCAGUUGGCGGGGUAACGGCCCACCAAACCGACGAUGGAUAGGGGUUCUGAGAGGAAGGUCCCCCACAUUGGUACUGAGACACGGACCAAACUCCUACGGGAGGCAGCAGUGAGGAAUAUUGGUCAAUGGGCGUAAGCCUGAACCAGCCAAGUCGCGUGAGGGAUGAAGGUUCUAUGGAUCGUAAACCUCUUUUAUAAGGGAAUAAAGUGCGGGACGUGUCCCGUUUUGUAUGUACCUUAUGAAUAAGGAUCGGCUAACUCCGUGCCAGCAGCCGCGGUAAUACGGAGGAUCCGAGCGUUAUCCGGAUUUAUUGGGUUUAAAGGGUGCGUAGGCGGCCUUUUAAGUCAGCGGUGAAAGUCUGUGGCUCAACCAUAGAAUUGCCGUUGAAACUGGGGGGCUUGAGUAUGUUUGAGGCAGGCGGAAUGCGUGGUGUAGCGGUGAAAUGCAUAGAUAUCACGCAGAACCCCGAUUGCGAAGGCAGCCUGCCAAGCCAUUACUGACGCUGAUGCACGAAAGCGUGGGGAUCAAACAGGAUUAGAUACCCUGGUAGUCCACGCAGUAAACGAUGAUCACUAGCUGUUUGCGAUACACUGUAAGCGGCACAGCGAAAGCGUUAAGUGAUCCACCUGGGGAGUACGCCGGCAACGGUGAAACUCAAAGGAAUUGACGGGGGCCCGCACAAGCGGAGGAACAUGUGGUUUAAUUCGAUGAUACGCGAGGAACCUUACCCGGGUUUGAACGCAUUCGGACCGAGGUGGAAACACCUUUUCUAGCAAUAGCCGUUUGCGAGGUGCUGCAUGGUUGUCGCCAGCUCGUGCCGUGAGGUGUCGGCUUAAGUGCCAUAACGAGCGCAACCCUUGCCACUAGUUACUAACAGGUAAAGCUGAGGACUCUGGUGGGACUGCCAGCGUAAGCUGCGAGGAAGGCGGGGAUGACGUCAAAUCAGCACGGCCCUUACAUCCGGGGCGACACACGUGUUACAAUGGCGUGGACAAAGGGAAGCCACCUGGCGACAGGGAGCGAAUCCCCAAACCACGUCUCAGUUCGGAUCGGAGUCUGCAACCCGACUCCGUGAAGCUGGAUUCGCUAGUAAUCGCGCAUCAGCCAUGGCGCGGUGAAUACGUUCCCGGGCCUUGUACACACCGCCCGUCAAGCCAUGGGAGCCGGGGGUACCUGAAGUCCGUAACCGAGAGGAUCGGCCUAGGGUAAAACUGGUGACUGGGGCUC